rnacentral:lncRNA from 1 species
GACUCUCUCGGAAUCAUCAGAACAGUAUCUUGGAUGCCAUGAUCCAGAUAUUCCAAUAGUUGAAUGAUACCUCGACUGAACCUAAGACUUUCUGAAAAUUAGCAGAACAAUGUCUUGAAUUUAACACACGAGAUUCUCUGAGGAUCAACGAAACAAUACCUUACAUGAUAUAAUCGAGAUAUUCCAUCAAGGGAAUGAUACCUCAACCGUAUCAAAGACUCUCCG